ACUCAGUGAAAUUGAACUCGCUGUGAAGAUGCAGUGUACCCGCGGCAAGACGGAAAGACCCCGUGAACCUUUACUAUAGCUUGACACUGAACAUUGAGCCUUGAUGUGUAGGAUAGGUGGGAGGCUUUGAAGUGUGGACGCCAGUCUGCAUGGAGCCGACCUUGAAAUACCACCCUUUAAUGUUUGAUGUUCUAACGUGGACCCGUAAUCCGGGUUGCGGACAGUGUCUGGUGGGUAGUUUGACUGGGGCGGUCUCCUCCUAAAGAGUAACGGAGGAGCACGAAGGUUGGCUAAUCCUGGUCGGACAUCAGGAGGUUAGUGCAAUGGCAUAAGCCAGCUUGACUGCGAGCGUGACGGCGCGAGCAGGUGCGAAAGCAGGUCAUAGUGAUCCGGUGGUUCUGAAUGGAAGGGCCAUCGCUCAACGGAUAAAAGGUACUCCGGGGAUAACAGGCUGAUACCGCCCAAGAGUUCAUAUCGACGGCGGUGUUUGGCACCUCGAUGUCGGCUCAUCACAUCCUGGGGCUGAAGUAGGUCCCAAGGGUAUGGCUGUUCGCCAUUUAAAGUGGUACGCGAGCUGGGUUUAGAACGUCGUGAGACAGUUCGGUCCCUAUCUGCCGUGGGCGCUGGAGAAUUGAGGGGGGCUGCUCCUAGUACGAGAGGACCGGAGUGGACGCAUCACUGGUGUUCGGGUUGUCAUGCCAAUGGCACUGCCCGGUAGCUAAAUGCGGAAGAGAUAAGUGCUGAAAGCAUCUAAGCACGAAACUUGCCCCGAGAUGAGUUCUCCCUGACUCCUUGAGAGUCCUGAAGGAACGUUGAAGACGACGACGUUGAUAGGCCGGGUGUGUAAGCGCAGCGAUGCGUUGAGCUAACCGGUACUAAUGAACCGUGAGGCUUAACCUUACAACGCCGAAG
rnacentral:rRNA from 1 species